UCCCCCCAUCCGAUCUAAAAGAACUGGGCCUUUGACUUUGCUCAAGUUAGGGCGAGGUUUUCCUCCUGUCCCUAACAGGGCUGUGGGGGCACAUUAGGGCAUUGUAAGGCCUCUCCCCCUAUCCGAUCUAAAAGAACCGGGCCUUUGACUUUGCUCAAGUUAGGGCGAGGUUCUCCUCCUGUCCCUAACAGGGCUGUGGGGGCACAUUAAGGCGUUGUAAGGCCUCUCCCCCCAUCCAGUCUAAAAGAACCGGGCCUUUGACUUUGCUCAUGUCAGGACGAGGUUCUCCUCCUGUUCCUGACAUGGCUGUAUUUUUGGAGGGAUCAUAUCCAGUCAUAAUACAUCCACGCCAGGUGGGAAAGGCAUGUUAGGUAGAAAGAAAAGUAGAUUCAAGGUGAAAUCGUAAGUGAUACAUUUACAAUUUUUUCGCUCCUCCUUGAGGC
rnacentral:lncRNA from 1 species